UACGUAGGUGGCGAGCGUUGUCCGGAUUUACUGGGCGUAGAGAGCGCGCAGGCGGUCGUGCAAGUCGCGUGUGAAAGCCCCCGGCUCAACUGGGGAGCGUCAUUCGAUACUGAUCGACUUGAAGGCAGGAGAGGGAAGCGGAAUUCCCGGUGUAGUGGUGAAAUGCGUAGAUAUCGGGAGGAACACCAGAGGCGAAGGCGGCUUCCUGGCCUGUUCUUGACGCUGAGGCGCGAAAGCUAGGGGAGCAAACGGG
rnacentral:rRNA from 1 species